UGUUAUCAAAUGGCGGAAGAGCCCCUCCUGC
rnacentral:piRNA from 1 species